rnacentral:lncRNA from 1 species
ACCACGCCCCCCAACCCCGCGCGCCAGCCGGGAGCGGGGCCUGGCGGCCUUGGGGGCCGGCUGAGCUCCCGGCGCGGCGGUCUGAAGAGUUGGCGGACGGGCGGUCGAAGCGCCGAGCCCGGGGCGGGAGACGGCGGCCGCGCUGACCUCUCGGCUUUGCGGGGCUUGGCGCAGAGGCCCGCGGGGUUCACUUCCUUGAAAGUGAAGAAAGUGAAAGAAACCUUUCUUGACUACUCCAUGGGCAAUAACAACCCCACCUACUCUUUUUUCUUAACAGGAAUUAGUUUAUUCAUGGAUGCUCAGGUUCAACAGGAGAUGAGAGAGGAACAAGAUGAUGGAGCAAUGGGAGACAGAACAGGAGGAUGUGAUUGAUUGUGUCAACAACAAAAGUGAACUUGAAGAAGAAGAUGAGAACAGAGCCAAGCAGUUAAGAUG